rnacentral:rRNA from 1 species
AUUGAACGCUGGCGGCAUGCCUUACACAUGCAAGUCGAACGGCAGCACGGGAGCAAUCCUGGUGGCGAGUGGCGAACGGGUGAGUAAUGUAUCGGAACGUGCCUUGUCGUGGGGGAUAACGUAGCGAAAGCUACGCUAAUACCGCAUACCAUCUAAGGAUGAAAGCGGGGGAUCGCAAGACCUCGCGCGACAAGAGUGGCCGAUAUCAGAUUAGGUUGUUGGUGGGUAAAGGCCUACCAAGCCGACGAUCUGUAGCUGGUCUGAGAGGACGACCAGCCACACUGGGACUGAGACACGGCCCAGACUCCUACGGGAGGCAGCAGUGGGGAAUUUUGGACAAUGGGCGAAAGCCUGAUCCAGCAAUGCCGCGUGCAGGAUGAAGGCCUUCGGUUGUAACUAGCUUUGUAC